rnacentral:rRNA from 1 species
UACAGAGGGUGCAAACGUUGUUCGGAAUUACUGGGCGUAAAGCGCGUGUAGGCGGUCUCGCAAGUCGGAUGUGAAAGCCCAGGGCUCAACCCUGGAAGUGCACUCGAUACUGCGAGGCUAGAGUCCCGGAGAGGAUGGUGGAACUCUCGGUGUAGAGGUGAAAUUCGUAGAUAUCGAGAAGAACACCGGUGGCGAAGGCGGCCAUCUGGACGGUGACUGACGCUGAGACGCGAAAGCGUGGGGAGCAAACAGG